UGGACUGCGGUUCUAUCCUCUGUUAAUCUUCCCAUCUCAAGUAUGUCCUACGUGUGAAGGUUUUACCACUUACAGAGGGACAGAUUAACAGCUGUUAUCCCUCUUCAACCAAAGGGACCUGUAUUUGAGAUGUAGUUGCCCUCUGCUUUGAAGCAAAGCGCAGGUCAGAGCCAAUGGGAGCCUUUAAUAAUGUGGCCGUCUCAUCUGGCGCUGAAGGCAGAAAGUUUUCCUGCUAAUUGGAUUGUUGUGAGAUUAUCUGAGGAGGAACAAGCUCCUCUGGACAGAGGAGGGCUGGGAGCACACAGAGUCGUGGAGAAGGAGCAGUAAAAAAAGAACAGGAAGCAAUAAAAAAAAAAAAGAACAAGCACUGUACUCACACAAGCUCUAGCGUAAGACUUGUCUGCUAGGUAGAGGAGGGCACAGCAACAGUCAACCCCACGCCGAGGACACCGCAUCCAUACUGACCAUCAGCAGGCAGUGGCUGUUCUUCUGGAAGGAAGCAGUGAAGCUCAGAGCCAAAUAAAACGUGCCCAGGUUCACACAGAUGUACAGCCAGGACCAACAUGCAGCAUCAGAGAAGGCAACUGAAGAAGGUCUCUUCAUAAGGACCAUCAAGUCCGACUCUAGGCUCCAUACAGAACCACUCAGAAGUCGGACCUUAUGUCUGAGUACAUUGACCAGACCAGACGCUCCUUGAACUCCAGCAGCUCGGGGCCGUGCCACUGCCCUAGGCAGCCUGUUCCAUGCCCACCACCCUCUGGUGAAGAACCUCAUCCUAACCUCCAACCUGACCUUCCCCUGGCACAGCUCCAUGCUGUUCCCUCAGGCCCUGUCGCUGUCACGGAGAGCAAAGCUCAGCGUUUCCCAUCCUUUCCUCAAAUGGAGACCAAAAUAGAACAACUGGUCACGGGUAGCAGAGCGUGUGCUACAGAGGGCUCAAGCUCAUCAGUCUGUCUCCAUUUCAUGCAUUUUUCAUGCAUCACCUCUUACUUCUGAGCUAUUCAUUUUAUCUUUGUUUUCACCUGCAUCUAAUGAGCCUUUUCUGUGCUUUUGAUCAGAGAUGGUUCUGUGAAGACUUUUGUAAGGCUCUUCUCUCCCAUCCUCUUCAUCUUCCUCAACUCCUCCUUCUCUUCUGCCCUCCUUAGUUGUUCGUUUCCCAUCACAGGUAAAAAUCUUUGAGAGACAAUCAUCAGCCCUGCUAAGUGAGUCAGGAUAGUGAAUGGGAGGAAAUAAGGGCAUAUCCUGUGGUGCCAAAUAGCAGCAGCUAUAGAAAUGGCACCAAAAGCACCCUUUCUCUCUCUCUUCUGGAAGAACUGGGAUGGUGCCAUCCAGAGGAGAGCCCUGGGGGCUUGCUGAAUGAACCCUUCCUCCCAGCAUCGUACACCAGCAGAGAAAAGCAUGGGCUCACUGCCAGCUGUGCCAUUAUCUGCCUGAACACUGGGCCAGAAGCAGCUAGAGAGAUGGGUCUGAAUGGGGACUGAACAUCAUGAUUUCUCCCUACGCCUACUCUUUUCUGCAAGGCCAAUAUAGUCACUGUCAGGUGGAGAAAAACAGAUUGGUCCUGCUGCGUCAGCCCAUCGUAUCAGUCUCCAUCUCCAGCUGCAGCCAGCAUCGGGAGCUGCAGAAGGGACAGAUGGCUCCAGAUAGUGACACCUCUGCUCCACGAGUGUGCACUGCCCAAAUGCUGAUGCUGGCGAGUGCACCAAGCAGGCAGGCAUAGCCCCUGGUAGUCAUGGUGGUUCUUGCAGCCACAGCCUGCAAUGCUCUGAGACUGCAUUAGCCACAUGAAAAGUUCAACUUGGAUUUCUUCAUACAUGGGAGGAGUAGGAGGAACAAAUGCCUCUGGAGCAUAUUUCAUUCCCUGGAUGCAGAGAGGUGCUGCCAUCCCUGCUUCUCCAAUGGAGCUCCGGUUCUUGCAAGCUACAGACAUGAAAGAGGAGCAUAUUCUCUGUAGCAGUAUAGGACUUGAAUUCUAUGCUAAUUUUGUCAGCAGCAGUUCUUCCUGUGGCAACGACACCAGCAUGCUGGUCACUUAGUUUGGAUCUCAGCUACACAGACUGCAGACCAGUCGCCAAAGAUGACACCUUUCAGUGAAGGUUUGUUCUGAACCAAUGACUUAAGAACGAAAAGCAUCAUAUCUUAUUUCUAUCUGAGCCGUAGAAAUGCUCAUCAACUUUGUACCAAAGAGAAAAGACUCGAGCUGACAAAAAGAGUCGUGGUGUUGUGGUCUUAAAAGAGCCGAGUUCAGAUCAUGACCCAUUAGCAGUUCACUGGCCCCUGGAAGAAGCCAGCACUGUUUUGGUGGUGCUGUGCCAAGCUGUGCUCUUCCUUCCCAAAUUUGAAGCUGUCUGUACAAGCAGGAAGCCAGGAGCUGCUGCUCCCCAAGGGAGAAUAACAGAAGGUAUUCCACCAAAACAGCACAAAUUCUUGUGGGGAUUCUUGGGAGGAAACAGAUGAUGAAGUUAAAGGAUUAUUUGCUUCAAAGAAGAGUAAAUUUGCUCAAAGAGGAAGUGAGAGAAAAUGUUGAGAGACUUGAACCUACGAGUAUAUUUGGAUUUGAGAGAUCAUACCUCCCUUCUGGUUUUGCCUUUUUUUUUUUUUUUGGUCAAAAUAUCUUGAAAAUCUCAGUGUUUUUCUUCCUUUUAUCCGAUUAGAAGUUGUGAGGAGGC
ensembl:lncRNA